rnacentral:rRNA from 1 species
UGGGGAAUUUUGGACAAUGGGCGAAAGCCUGAUCCAGCAAUGCCGCGUGUGUGAAGAAGGCCUUCGGGUUGUAAGGCACUUUUGUCCGGAAAGAAAUCCUUGGCUCUAAUACAGUCGGGGGAUGACGGUACCGGAAGAAUAAGCACCGGCUAACUACGUGCCAGCAGCCGCGGUAAUACGUAGGGUGCAAGCGUUAAUCGGAAUUACUGGGCGUAAAGCGUGCGCAGGCGGUUUGCUAAGACCGAUGUGAAAUCCCCGGGCUCAACCUGGGAACUGCAUUGGUGACUGGCAGGCUAGAGUAUGGCAGAGGGGGGUAGAAUUCCACGUGUAGCAGUGAAAUGCGUAGAGAUGUGGAGGAAUACCGAUGGCGAAGGCAGCCCCCUGGGCCAAUACUGACGCUCAUGCACGAAAGCGUGGGGAGCAAACAGGAUUAGAUACCCUGGUAGUCCACGCCCUAAACGAUGUCAACUAGUUGUUGGGGAUUCAUUUCCUUAGUAACGUAGCUAACGCGUGAAGUUGACCGCCUGGGGAGUACGGUCGCAAGAUUAAAACUC